GCUUCAGUUUGAAUCGAACCGUACCGCAAACCGACACAGGUGGGCAGGAUGAGAAUUCUAAGGCGCUUGAGAGAACUCGGGAGAAGGAACUCGGCAAAUUGAUACCGUAACUUCGGGAGAAGGUAUGCCCUCUAAGGUUAAGGACCUGCUCCGUAAGCCCUGGAGGGUCGCAGAGAAUAGGUGGCUGCGACUGUUUAUUAAAAACACAGCACUCUGCUAACACGAAAGUGGACGUAUAGGGUGUGACGCCUGCCCGGUGCUGGAAGGUUAAUUGAAGAUGUGCAAGCAUCGGAUCGAAGCCCCAGUAAACGGCGGCCGUAACUAUAACGGUCCUAAGGNNNNNNNNNNGUAGCGAAAUUCCUUGUCGGGUAAGUUCCGACCCGCACGAAUGGCGUAACGAUGGCCACACUGUCUCCUCCCGAGACUCAGCGAAGUUGAAGUGGUUGUGAAGAUGCAAUCUACCCGCUGCUAGACGGAAAGACCCCGUGAACCUUUACUGUAGCUUUGCAUUGGACUUUGAAGUCACUUGUGUAGGAUAGGUGGGAGGCUUAGAAGCAGAGACGCCAGUCUCUGUGGAGCCGUCCUUGAAAUACCACCCUGGUGUCUUUGAGGUUCUAACCCAGACCCGUAAUCCGGGUCGGGGACCGUGCAUGGUAGGCAGUUUGACUG
rnacentral:rRNA from 1 species